AGACGAGGUCUAUGCGCAGGUCUGAUUUUAUUCGGGAAGUACAUGGGGUUUUAUAGUGUCAUGGAGGCGGGGAGGUUGUGGGAGGGGCAUGUCCGCGGGGCAGCUGAGGAUUGGCUGCAGAGGCAAGGGCGGACCUGCGGUUUAUGACGUAAGCCAUUGAUGGCAGGGGGGGUUGUUUCCGAGGUUGUGCCGGGGCGGAUACGGGAUGAGGGCGGUUGAAAUGAGGCGGGGAGAACAGCGAUCGGCUGGGAGGGGGAAGAUAACAGUGGCUGGGAGGAGGGGCAGAGGGAGGCAGCAGCACAAACUGCUGCUGAGAAGGGCCAUAAUACAGGGAGGUUACGAGGAACAGGCGGGCAAAGUAUAAGGAAGCGAAAGGCAGGGUGGGAGCAGGGGACAGGGUGUUUCCUAACUGUAGCCCUCCUCUUUCCAAUGAGGAAGAUUUGAGAUGUGUCCUUCAGAGUCUACUCACCUUACAGCAGAGUGCAGGAGUGCAGCAUACUUUCGUAAAUUUGUGUGACGUCUGUUCAGUGAGUUGGAGAGGGUGUGGUUGGAAACAUAAUGCUGUGCUUAUAAUGUGUUAAUGAAAGCCCUGCAGCUGUUGAAACUGCCCCAGAGAGAAGCAAAUACUGUAAAAGGAAAAAAUGCCAAGGAGAAAGACAUGAGGACAAUAGAAAUGAAAGGGAGGAAUCACAGCCAGAUCCGGAGCCAUUUGCAGUCACUGUUAGUUUGGAGAGAAAUGAACGGAAACAAGAAGGA
rnacentral:lncRNA from 1 species